rnacentral:rRNA from 1 species
ACACGCAUGACACACUGCAUAUCAAUAAGCGGAGGAAAAGAAACUAACAAGGAUUCCCUUAGUAACGGCGAGUGAAGCGGGAAGAGCUCAAAUUUGAAAUCUUCAAGGUUCUACCUUGACGAAUUGUAGUUUAUAGAAGUGUUUUCUGUUAGUGGAGUGGCAAAAGUUCUUUGGAAUAGGACAUCAUAGAGGGUGAGAAUCCCGUAUUUGGUCAUUCCUCCUAGCGUUGUGAUACACUUUCAACGAGUCGGAUUGUUUGGGAAUGCAGUCCAAAAUGGGUGGUAAAUUUCAUCUAAAGCUAAAUAUUGGCGAGAGACCGAUAGCGAACAAGUACCGUGAGGGAAAGAUGAAAAGAACUUUGAAAAGAGAGUUAAACAGUACGUGAAAUUGUCAAAAGGGAAGCGUUUGACACCAGUGUUGUUUUUCCGAAAAUCAAUUACGAAUGUUUUAUUUUUGAGGAGUUAUGACUUCAUCGGCUUGCUCCUUUCUUUAUGAAACUUUCUUAAUGCACUUUUCGGUUAACAAGUCAACAUCAAUUUCUUUUGUUGUAAAAGGGUAUGAGGAAGGUGGCUUUCUUUUCGGAGAAAGUGUUUAUAGCCUUGUGCCUCUGCAAUCGGAGAGAUUGAGGUCUGCAGCGUAGAUCCUUCGGGGUUAGAUACGUUUGUGCUAAGUUAUAGCUUUUCAUAGACAACUUGUUGACUAUGUUUAGUCUCGUAGCUUACUCGCUUACGCUAUUUUACCUACGCUUAGGAUGUUGACUGAUAUGUAGUCGUA